GAGUUUGAUCUUGGCUCAGAUUGAACGCUGGCGGCAGGCCUAACACAUGCAAGUCGAGCGGUAGAGAGAAGCUUGCUUCUCUUGAGAGCGGCGGACGGGUGAGUAAUGCCUAGGAAUCUGCCUGGUAGUGGGGGAUAACGCUCGGAAACGGACGCUAAUACCGCAUACGUCCUACGGGAGAAAGCAGGGGACCUUCGGGCCUUGCGCUAUCAGAUGAGCCUAGGUCGGAUUAGCUAGUUGGUGAGGUAAUGGCUCACCAAGGCGACGAUCCGUAACUGGUCUGAGAGGAUGAUCAGUCACACUGGAACUGAGACACGGUCCAGACUCCUACGGGAGGCAGCAGUGGGGAAUAUUGGACAAUGGGCGAAAGCCUGAUCCAGCCAUGCCGCGUGUGUGAAGAAGGUCUUCGGAUUGUAAAGCACUUUAAGUUGGGAGGAAGGGCAGUAAAUUAAUACUUUAGCUGUUUUGACGUUACCGACAGAAUAAGCACCGGCUAACUCUGUGCCAGCAC
rnacentral:rRNA from 1 species